rnacentral:lncRNA from 10 species
GGCUGAGCAAGAAUUAAUUCCCCCAUUUUACAGAGGUCCUGCUAUGGUCCUGCUAUGUUACCCAAGGUGGUCUUGAACUCCUGGCCUCAAGCCAUCCUCCUGCCUCGGCCUCCCAAAGUGCCAAGAUUAUAGGCAUGAGCCACUGCACACCCAGCCUGCCGUGUGACAUCUGAGGCUAGAUUAUAAGAAUGCUAUGAGCUUCCACCUGGCUUUCAUGGACAGGAUGCUAACUCUUGGAACUCACCUGCCAUGUCGUGAGGAAGUCCAAAUCAUCCCACAUGGAGAGGCCUGUGAAGGUGCUCUAGCUCACAGCCCAGCUGAGGUCCUGGCUGACAGCCUGCAUCAUCUGCCAGGUGGAGUCUUUGUCGCCCAGUCUGG